UAAGACGGGGAGCUUGCACAGCAGGCUGAGAGGGGACAGGUAGUCUCGACCCGGGAACCUGAUUUGGAUAAUGCCAACGUAGGGAUAGUGAC
rnacentral:ncRNA from 1 species